GGCAAGAUGGCCGAGUUGGUCUAAGGCGUCAGGUUAAGGUCCACCUUAAUAAUUCAGCUUUCAUACAGCUUCCUGAUCAUCGUUUGAUGGCGUGGGUUCGAAUCCCACUCUUGUCA